UACAGAGGUCUCAAGCGUUGUUCGGAUUCAUUGGGCGUAAAGGGUGCGUAGGCGGCGCGGUAAGUCGGGUGUGAAAUCUUGGAGCUUAACUCCGAAACUGCAUUCGAUACUGCCGUGCUUGAGGACUGGAGAGGAGACUGGAAUUUACGGUGCAGCGGUGAAAUGCGUAGAUAUCGUAAGGAAGACCAGUGGCGAAGGCGGGUCUCUGGACAGUUCCUGACGCUGAAGCACGAAGGCCAGGGGAGCAAACGGG
rnacentral:rRNA from 1 species